rnacentral:tRNA from 1 species
UAGAAAGUGGUGUAGAGGUAGCACAGAGAGCUUUGAACUCUCCAGGGAGGGUUCGAGACCCUCUUUUCUAA